GGGCCCGCACAAGCAGAGGAGCAUGUGGCUUAAUUCGAUGCAACGCGAAGAACCUUACCCGGGUUUGACAUGCAGCUGCACGGCCUAUGAAAGUAGGCCUCCUUCGAGGGUGCUGCACAGGUGCUGCAUGGCUGUCGUCAGUUCGUGCCGUGAGGUGUUUGGUUAAGUCCAGCAACGAACGCAACCCCUGUGUCCAGUUGCCAGCGCGUAAUGGCGGGAACUCUGGACAGACUGCCCGUUCACACGGGAGGAAGGUGGGGAUGACGUCAAGUCAGUAUGGCCCUUACAUCCGGGGCUGCACACGUGCUACAAUGGCCGGUACAAAGGGAAGCCAAGCCGCGAGGCCGAGCCAAUCCCCAAAACCGGCCCCAGUUCAGAUUGGGGUCUGCAACCCGACCCCAUGAAGUCGGAUUUGCUAGUAACGGCGCAUCAGCUACGGCGCCGUGAAUACGUUCCCGGGCCUU
rnacentral:rRNA from 1 species